ACAACGCAGACGCCAGCCCGCACAAUGACUUCCAGCUGGAGCAGCCCAGCCAGCCUGCGCGCUCACUCGCUUGCUUGCGCUGGGCUUCAGGGCGCCCGGGUUUUUCUGUGGACCUAAAUUUUCAUUUCUCUGGGAUAAAUGUCCAGGAGUGUGAUUGCUGGGUCAUAUGGUGUCACAUGCCAUUCUUCUGAUUUUCAUGAAUAUCCUCUAAAAGGCAGCUAAGCACUCGCUGUCUUCUUCCUUUUGCCUCAUCAAGCACGGGGGACGCUGGAAGGAAGAGGCUCCAGGGACCUACCUGACUUCCUAUUCAUGCUGAUCCCACUGAGACCCUUAUCAACCCUGACCUGUUCCCCAUGUGCCUCUUGGAUCUGCCUUAUGUUCCAGAUCCAGCAGAUAAGCCAGUACUUAAUGCCAAUAAUUGCUCCAACUGGGGUGGAAAAUGGAUAUUUAUACUUCAAAUUUGUGGAUAUCAGUUUUCCAGAAGGGGAAAACAGGAUUGGCUCCUACUUCAGAAAAUGAUCUAGGGGUGAAGAGGUCCUUACUGGCCUUUUCCCCACUGAGUCCCAGCUGGUCUCCUGACAGGGGAUUUUGGGGACCGAUUCACCAAUGUGUGACAGUAUCCAUGCAUAAAGAUGUGAACUGUCUUCUCCCCAAACUUUUAAUCUAUGUAAAUGCAACGCUACAUUCCAAUGUAUUUCUAAGACAGUUUUGCUCUAUGCCAAUCAGCAGAUGAGCCGGGGCUCAUUUUUUGUGGGGUCUGGCUCUUACCUGUUUCCUCUGAAAUCCUAUAAGAUUUUAUUUUUUCUUCUCUUGGACAUAUCACGUAUUUCCUUGAUUUCUACUUAUCGCAGUAACUGUCUUUUCAUUCACAUUAAGGUAACUUUAUAUUGUGGAGUCAGACAGUUCUCUGUCUGCUACUUACCAACUGUCAGAUCUUGUUUGAGCAAACGAAUUAUAUUCUUUGAGCCUCAGUUUCUUUAUCUAUCAAACGGGGAUAAUUAUUUCCAAGCUCAAAAUGCUGUUGUAAGUAUGAAUUAGAAUAAUGAAUAUAAAAUAUGGUACAUGCUAGUCAUUCAUAAGUUUUUCCUUAAAAGUAGACUGUUUCGUAUUUAUAUUUAUAUCUCCCACAGUGCCUCAAUCAUAGUAGAUGCUCAAUAAAUGUGACUCAAUAAGCA
rnacentral:lncRNA from 1 species